AAGCACUGCAGGUUUUGAGUAUGCGCAUGAUAUGUGAAGAAGAUGGCAGCUUUCCAGAAAAGGCAGAAUUUGAGGAUGACUUCAUCUUUGCUGAAGACUUGGAAGCUGAAUCACGAAUAGUACAGCUUUUUAAAGAUUCUGAAGAGAACCUUGCUGUUGCCCUUUUGAAUCUAAGAUGGUGCGCUGUGCUUGGCUUCCCAAUUUCAUGGUCACCUAAUCAAAGCCCAUGGGCCAGAAGACUGUCAUCUAACUACACUGCCAGGAAAGGAGCCACCUAAUCACGGUAUAUAUAUAGAUGGCAUUAUGACUCCAGUGAAUUUCCCUUUAUUAUUAUUUUUGGUUGUGGUCGGACGAAGCGCAAGGCCUCCUCAGGAAGAAGGGAGAGGGUGAGAGGCACAGAUGAGGUCUUGAUCUUUUACAGCUGAUUUUUUAGAUUUGUAUUAGGCUAGGAUAUUUGAGAAAAUUAGGGGAUGCCCUUUUAUCUUUUUUGGUUCAUUACGUUAUUUUGUAAGCUACUGCUUUGUAUAUUUAAAAGGUGAAAUCGUGCUGCAGUUCUCUAAACAAGAUCAACUGUGCCUAGGAGGAGGCGGCGGCAUGUUUUGUUGUUAAUUUAACAAAAAAAACACAAAAAAGCAUUGAUAUUUUCUUUAUGCUUUUAUUCUUUAGCAAGUAUGCUUUGACCGCUAUCUUCUGUUGUCAUUGUACUUUUGUUAUGGUUCAAAUCAGUGAUGCCGGUGCGGUAUGAAUCCGCAAGGGAGGAGGCAUUUUCUCCGCAGCAUAGAAUGAGUUGCUCUCCUCUAGGGAGGGAGAGAAGGGUGCUGCUGGCAAGUUCUUUAAAUAUUCUCUUCCGAUCCGCAUCUAGGGGUUUGAUUUUAUCCUUCACAAUUUAUGGAUUAAACAACAUUACAAACUAUAGUUGUUCAUGACGAGUUUUCAUAUUUUUUUGUAUGAAAACGAUAAUUGGAUUAAUUAACAAGAUGAAUGUUAACAUCUCUUAAUUUAAACAACCAAAUUAUCACUCAAUCAUUAACUAAAGUACAACCAAAAGAUGACUACUGAAGGAAAUUAACCUCAUUCUUGGCAGAUGAAUCUGAAAUUUAAUUCAUAAAUAUCAGCCAUCAUGACAAAAUACAAACUGCUUUCACGAUGUCAAAAGCCAUAAGGAAAUUUGAGAGUUACAAGUACAACUGAGUCGCUUGUAUGAUCGAAGCCAGGAUGCCUAAUCAGUUUCUUCUUUUAAUCACUGCAUAUCCAUAAAAGAAAAAUAAGAAACAGAACCGAAUGUUAUUAUUAUGUGAACAUACCAACAACAAAACAAUGUUAGGAUCAAGGGGUCAUCAUCUAAUACAUACCUACCACAUUUUUGGUGACCUGCUGUUGCACAAUCACAAUCAAGCCAUAAGAGUUUUUAGUGGGGAUCCAAUCUCCACUGAACCAACCCUUAAAAUUCAUAACCUCAAUCUGAAAAAGAAGAAAAUGAACAAGUUGAGGUUGGUUGCCGUUUGAAUGAAAGUGUGAAUGCAAAAGAAAGAAAUUAGUUAGAAAAACGCACCAGAGUAUGAAUAUCUCUGGGAUGUGAGCAAUCUUGGACCAGUCCUCACCUGUUUCUUUCUGGCAUCUUUGCUUUAAGAUGGGGCAACUAUCAAUUAUCAACCUUUUUAAUGAGACGAGGCAACGAAGCCCUUCCGGGAGUGAUGCCAAAUUAGGGCAAUCCCAUAUCCAAAGCAACUGAAGUGAUUUGAGGUUGCCCAUCCCUUCUGGUAGUGAUGCCAAUUUAGGACAAUUUGAAAUAUACAGUCUCUGUACGGAGAUGAGGCGACCCAUCCCUUGAUCUGGUAGUGAUACCAAAUUAGGACAAUCUUUAAUUUCAAGCUUCUCAAGUAAUGUGAGGUUUCCAAUCCCUUCUUCUGGCACAUAUUCUAUAUCCUCAACGCCCCUAAUCUCCAGAUAUUUUAAUUUGUAAGAGGGAACAAAGGAGGAGGAAAGGACCUUCCAGCUGCUUUUCUCUAACCACAGUUCAUCAAGAUUUGGGUACAGCGGCAUGGAAGUUAGGUUAGGACAACCAUAUAUAGAUAAAAAAGAAAGACAAGGAAAUGAAGAAGCUGAAGCUGAAGCUGUUUCAUUCCUCCACCAUCCCUUGAGAUUAGGGCAUAUUCUUAGAUAAAGACUCUCUAAGGAGGGAAAGAAGGUCGUCGAUGGAGAAGCAGCUGACAUCAUCAUCACAUCACCGGCGCCGGCAAAGUCCUUGACCUUGUCUUCUGCAGAUAUGUGCUCCAAAUUCCUUAACCCGAAAAGAUGAAGACUCUUAAGAAAAGGUAAAUGAUCCAACGGUGGAAGAUGUUGGCAUCUAUCACAGUUAGACAAUAUGAGAUUAACAAUAUUUGUGAGAGAAUGAAACCAACUCGCAAACCUCACACCCGGGUAUCUGUUCACGACUAACUCUUUUAGACUCGAAUGGGGCUGCAGCGCUUCCAUUGACUUAAUAAUUACAUCAUUCUCCUCCGCAUCAUUAUUUUCUCUUUCAAUGUGCAUCCAAUAUAAAGUCAACGAAUAGAGAUGUCGUUUCUCCUUCAAAACUGCACAAUCAUAAUUCAAUUCUGACACCAUAUCUUGCUCGCACCUCAAAUUCAUGAUUUUCAACUCUCCUCUUAAAUCCUUCAACUUUCCCAACUCACUGAGCCCUGCACCGUCCCUCAACAUGGAUUUGUUUUCACUCAAAACAAAUGUAUUCAAAGUACGAACAUGAGUCAAUUCACCCAAUCCACGAGGAAUCCAAGCCAAGUUGUCACAAUUUGCCAAAAUGAGAUGCCUCAAGUUGAUCAAUUUCUUAAUAUCUCUAGGCAAUUCCACAAGCACCCGACAACAAUUGAGAUCUAGUGUUUCCAAAUUUUGAAGUUUCACUAUCCAAUUUGGAAGUCUCUUAAUGGGAUUUCCACUAAGAUCAAGAUAUCUUAAAUGUUUCAGUUUCCUAAGACAUUUUGGCAAUUUUGUAAUUCCCAAUUUAUUUAAACUCAACAUACGCAAUGACUUAAAAUUUGAAGCAAUUGUAGCACAAAAUGAUGUACGGAAUGACAUCUCCCACUCCUUUUGGCUUAGGAAAAGAAAAGUCCUUAGCUUAUUUGAUUCCAGCAAGGAUGUUGGUAUUUUCCAUUCCAACGAAUCAACAUGAAAAUUGAAAGAUACAUGAAGAAGACGUUUUGCAUCAAAAUUAGUCUUAUUGCGAUCUAUUAUUGUGCUUCCCUCCCCUGCCACUUUAACAGCAAGUUCAUUCAUGAGAUCAUGCAUUUUACAGCUUUUUAUUAUACCAAACUCAUCUUUUUCUUCUUCUUGGAAAAAAGAUCUCCAAACUAGUUCGUUAUAAUAUUCAUAACCAACAUCUUCCAAGCACUCAUUAGGAUUUGAAGACUUAACGAACCCUUGUGCCACCCACAACCUAAUUAAAUUCUCUGCGGGAAUCUCAUAAUCAGGCGGGAACAAACUACAAUAAGCAAAACAAUGUUUCAAAUGUGAUGGGAGAACAUCAUAACUCAGCUGAAGUGUUGGUAAAAUAUCAUUUUCUUCUUGCCUUAUUGUUGAAAGCUUGUUAUUCAUGAAAUCCGACCACUCAGUUUCUGGAUCUCUAGUGUACAACAUCCGUCCUAUGGUCCUUAUAGCAAGAGGAACCCCCUGACAUUUUCUAGCAAUCUCCUCCCCAAUCGCCUUAAUGGUUGAACUCUCUGGCUCUUUUCCUUCUUGGAAUGCCAUUUUCUUAAACAAAUACCAAGACUGCUCUUCACUUAAACCCCUUAAGUUAUAUGGUUUAGAUGUGUCUGUUAUUUUUGCAACUUUUUCACUACGAGUAGUUAUUAGUAUUUUACUACCUUUUCCACCGCCCAUCAAUAAGUUUUGCAAGCCAAACCAUUUUUCACGAUUAUCAUUCCACACAUCGUCCAACACAAGGAGGUAUCUCUUCCCAUCUAUUAUUUUCCUCAGUUCUUUUUGCAACUGAUCAAUCUCAAGGCUUUUGGCUAUGUCAUUAGUUGCAGAUUGAAUGAUUUUCUUAACAAUUAUAUCCAACUCAAAUACAUUUGACACACAUAUCCACAUUUUCAGCUCAAAAUGCUUCUCAACCUUCUCAUCGUUUAAAACUAGUUGAGCAAGUGUAGUUUUUCCCAAUCCUCCAAAUCCAACUAUGGAAAUCGAUGAGACAUUCUUUGUAGGGAUGGGAUCCAAAUCCAACAAAAGUUGAAUAAUUGCUCUUUUGUCUUCAUCUCUCCCUAUUAUAUUAUCCUCGCGGACAAAUGAGUGGGUGACCCUCUCUCUUAUUACAAAUCGUGCAUCUUCGUGGUUCACUUGUAAUUGACCAAAUGUUCUAUUCGAGGCAAUCUCAUGAAGUCUCUUGUUAAGAUCUUUUAUCUUAUGACCCAUUUUCAGCCCAAAAACAAGCUGAUUUGAGCUAGAGAAGAAGAUGCGUACCUGCUUUGACACUUUAUUAUUUCCAGGCACCAUUUGUCUCCACUGAGCUUCAGUAUAAAACUCAUCGAGCACGUCAUCAGCUUCAUAAACUUCAUCUUCUACGCUUUGGAGCCACUCUUUGACUGCUUCAUUGUUGGCUUGCUUUUGCUCAGCAUCAAGAAGAACAGCUCGGAGUUGGGAAACUAGAAGCUUAAGCUUUUGGAGCUCAUCGUUGACACCCCAAACCAAUCCAAUCUCUUCAAAAGCACGGGAGCCUAACCUUUCAAUGAUCCCUUGUACAAUGUUGAAGAGGACUCCUUCUGCCAUUGGAGAGAGGAAAAGAGUAUUCACUUGGAGAAAGGAAAAGAGUAUUCUUGCCGAAAGUUGUGGUUUGUUGAUAAGAGUUAUUUGGUGUGGAACAGGAAGUGGAGCAAGAGUAUUAACAAGGGACAAAAGAAACAUGCAUCAAAUCACAUGGGAAAGCUUUGAAUAGUGUGGAACAAGUGGAGCAAGAGUAUUAACAAUUGGACAAAGGAAAGAGGAAACAUGCAUCAAAUCACGUGGGAAAGCUUUGAAUAUUUGGUGUGAAACAGCAAGUGGAGCAAGUUGAAGAAAUGUUUGACUCAAAUAUGCUUUCGGUGGUUUUGACAUUAUUUUAAUGAAGGAGUCUAAUUGUAUAGCCGUUGGUGUUGUUCUGUUUGAGAAAUAAGCAAUUCUUUCUUUCUCCUUGUUUAUUGUUUCCAAGUGACUCUUGCUGCAGUUUUGGUUUCAAUUCCUAUAGAUGCCAGCUAUCUACUUUUUAUAUUAAAUUACUAAUACUAUACAAUAUCAUGUAAGCCAGUUAUGUUUAGCAUACUUUUACAUUAUAAUUAAGAUAUCAACAACGACAUAAUGUGUGCAAUUAAUAUUUUAUUGGAUUAAUAAUAGGUUCCCACCACAAUGGUGGUGGAUUACCAGAGAAGGCCAUCAUGUAACUCUUUCCCUCUCCCAGACCAACAGCAUGGGUUGGUUUCUGUCGAAUAGGGAGUGAGAGACCUACACAUUCUUCUACACAAACCCACCCAACUCCCAAAAAAUAUGGGCAAAUAACACUUUUCCUCAAUAAUCUCAAAAUGCCAGCUGGCAAAACAGUACUUUUCCAUGCUGGCAUCAUCUUCCACGUGUCAGACAGUGACUCCUCAAUUCCCCUGCCACAUUGGCUCUCUAUUUUGGCUUUGGUAGGGCACAUGAAAUUGCUUAGUCCCUGGUAGAUAGAUGUCAUCAUAGUUGGAUUUGGGACCAAGCAAUGUAUAAUGGUGUUAAUUAAUUCCUCUGUUUUGUAAAUGGGUUCUUUCUUGAGUGCAUGUUCAUAGAAAAACAAAAUGUAAAAUUACUUUUGUAACAAACAAUAAAUUUAAAAAAAAAGAAGAGAAAAGAAAAGAACUAUUAUUACUUUGCACUUAUGCCAAAAUGCCCAAAGCCAAUGUGGGUUGUAUAUAUGUAGGGACUAGGGAAUAGCAAAUACUUAAUGAAGAAAUGCUUCACAAUGAAAUGAUGCACAAAGAUUAAAGAAAUAGAGACAAACUCAUGUAAAACACAAAAAAGAGACCAUUAUGUAAAUUGAUUUAAGCUAAGAUCCGUUAAGUGUGGAAGUGGAACAUCCCAACUAAAAAUAAAAAAUAAAAAUCUUUUAGGUUUAGCUAUUGUUUCACAUACGAAAGACUAUUUUGUAUAAGUAAAACUAAAUAAACGAGUAAGUAACCAAAAUCCUAAAAUAUGUCUAUAAAUACCUUAAAAUUUCUUCAAAAAUUUUCCCCAUCAUUUCAUUCCACAUUUUUUACAAAUUCUAUCACAUUCUCUACUUGUUACCAACUUUCCACACACAAAAAUACUAACAAAAAUAGCACUGGGCUUUGGGAACACAUCUCACAAAAAUACACAGAUGAAGUUGUGAGAUAUUGAAUCGAAAACACUUUAUUUAUUGACAUUUGAAGAUGAAGGUAAGAGGUGCCACGUCGACAAAGAUCUAAUCGAAAAUCUGGAUAAUUGCUCCCGGACUAACACGUGUCACUUGAAAAUCAUAUCCAAAAAAUUAUUAAGCUUCCUUCAAGAUAAGACUUGCUACGUGGACACAAAAUCUUUAUAAAAAAUCUUGUUAAUUGCUUGUCAAUGUACACGUGUCAUAUAUGGAAUAUUGUAUUUAAAUAGUAGUUUAAUUAAAUUAAACAAUACAAAGUUGUGGAAUAUAUAAGUGUUGUACCAUAGUUUUUCUCAAAAUAAUAAAAUACGAAAGGCCCUAAAAUAUAGCUCUGACCAGAGAUGGAAAAAUUUAAUCAUACCCUAUUUUUUUUAAAAUUAAAUUUAUAGCUCUAAAUUACGUUUAGCCCUAACUGGAGAUGGCAUAAGAAGCCAAAAACCAUGAAAGAAAGUGAAGAGAUUCAAACGUACAAUGAUGUUUCCAUGUUGGUAAAGUUAUCAACUUUGCAAUUAUUUAUUCAAUAAUUAUUAGUGGGUGAUUGCUGAUUAAUCAACCAAAGAGGAAAAGUACCAAACUGAAGCCUGAAGCCAUGACAUGGACACCAUUGAAUAAUUUGGAUAAUUGGAAGUUGUGUCAAAAACAAAAACGCAGAAAAAAUAAACCCCACCAGCCUCCUUACAGGCUCCAGCUGUGCCUUCUGUUUCUGUUUGGCCAAUGGCUUUUUAGUGGGGAUGAUAAGAUAGCUGAUCCAGUGUUUGGACGUGGCAGAGAAUAUAUGUUGUCGUAAUAACAUUUAUCUGGGAACACCUAUUUAUAAUACAGUGCUGCAUUCACUUGUUGAGGCUAAGGAAGUAGGUGUUUUCAUCACCAUUGGUUUUCACAGCACGGAUCCAGCGACCUGCCAUUUUGUUUUCUCUGCAUAUGCCAACAGUGGUUUUCACAGCACGGCCAUGGAAGCACUGCAGGUUUUGAGUAUGCGCAUGAUAUGUGAAGAAGAUGGCAGCUUUCCAGAAAGGCAGAAUUUGAGGAUGACUUCAUCUUUGCUGAAGACUUGGAAGCUGAAUCACGAAUAGUACAGCUUGUUAAAGAUUCUGAAGAGAACCUUGCUGUUGCCCUUUUGAAUCUAAGAUGGUGCGCUGUGCUUGGCUUCCCAAUUUCAUGGUCACCUAAUCAAAGCCCAUGGGCCAGAAGACUGUCAUCUAACUACACUGCCAGGAAAGGAGCCACCUAAUCAUGAUAUAUAUAGGUGGCAUUAUGACUCCAGUGAGUUUCCCUUUAUUAUUAUUUUUGGUUGUGGUCGGACGAAGCCCAAGGCCUCCUCAGGAAGAAGGCAGAGGGUGAGAGGCACAGAUGAGGUCUUGAUCUUUUAUAGCUGAUUUUUUAGAUUUGUAUUAGGCUAGGAUAUUUGAGAAAAUUAGGGGAUGCCCUUUUAUCUUUUUUGGUUCAUUACGUUAUUUUGUAAGCUACUGCUUUGUAUAUUUAAAAGGUGAAAUCGUGCUGCAGUUCUCUAAACAGGAUCAACUGUGCCUAGGAGGAGGCGGCGGCAUGUUUUGCUGUUAAUUUAACAAAAAAAGCACAAAAAAGCAUUGAUAUUUUCUUUAUGCUUUUAUUCUUUAGCAAGUAUGCUUUGACCGCUAUCUUCUGUUGUCAUUGUACUUUUGUUAUGGUUCAAAUCAGUGAUGCCGGUGCGGUAUGAAUCCGCCAGGGAGGAGGCAUUUUCUCCACAGCAUAGAAUGAGUUGCUCUCCUCUAGGGAGGGAGAGAAGGGUGCUGCUGGCAAGUUCUUUAAAUAUUCUCUUCCGAUCCACAUCUAGGGGUUGAUUUUAUCAUUCACAAUUUAU
rnacentral:lncRNA from 1 species